CUCAAACACAUUUCUGCAAGCCAGGCACAGCACCCACACUGGGUCGGAGGACCAUCUGUUCAUUAGGAAACCUGCGUGGAACCUGUUUCCACACCUGAUGCCCUGGUGUGGAGCUCACCAGCCUGUCUGGCAGAUGAGAUAAUUAACUCGAGGAAGCCUCUGCGUGCAGGUCUCCUGGGCUGAAAGAGCACUGUGGAUGGAAAGCAUGGCCCCUCCCUGCACACCUGAAAAGAAAAUUUGCAGUGCUUAUUUGAGAUGCCUUGGAGACAGGAACCACUCCAGCUCACCAUGGAAAUCCCACUGGAUAUCACUGGCCUGGAAACAGCUUAAUGUUUCUGAGCAAGAAAACGGACAUGAACAUUAGGUUUACACAGAUUCCUUGAGGCUCCACCUUUGGAGAGGCUUGCAUCUAUCUAGGUCUAGAGAGAAUUAAAAUAGAAAUGAGCUGAGACAGCCACGGGGCCCCUGUGAUCUGGACAGGGCUGUGACUCCCAUCUAGACAGCCCUAGGCAACCGUGUCCAUACAGAGCAGAGACCCAAGGCUUGGGUCAUCCAUGAGUGAUUGGCACUUCUGGUUUGGACCAAAAGCUGUAAGCACUGCUGCAUCUAGGAGAUAUUCAGGCUGAGGUCUGACCUCCUGGGCCUCUCCCUGCACCCACGGCUGUCUGGUUGCACACUCUACAGAUUCAGGGAUUUGAUGUCCAGAAAUGAAGGUGCAGGACAGUGGUGGAGAAUGUGGGCUGACUUCCCACAUCCGUUUACCCACAGGGAGCCACAUAAGCCAGUAGUUUUGGGCCCUGUGUGUGCGUGUGUGUGUGUUUGAGAACUUAUGUAUUCCUAUGAUCUUUUGUUCCAAGAUAACCAAAGAAAAAUGAUUCCUUACCUGUUUCUCGUCACCAGCCUGUGGACAAUCCAUGACAUUUUACCCUAGGUAAUUCCUUCUUUGCUAAUUCUCCCUAUCUUCCUAGAAAGGAUAGUUCAUUCACUCAUUUGUCAAGUAUUUAUUGAGGUUUUCUGUAUGCAAAGCAUUAUGACAGAAACUAUGGAUGUGAAAAGGGUGAUUAAGUCAUAGACCCUGCUUUUAAUUAAUCGAUAAUCUCCUAAAGGAAGUUACCCAAAAGACUAUGAAUACAAGCAAAAAUUUACACCAAAAAAGGUGUGUUCUGCAGUUGCGUGAGAUUCUAUAAAUAUCAGUUAGAUUGAGGUAGCCGAUAGCGUUGUCCGGAUCUUCCAUGUCCUCACUGACUGUUCACCUAGUUGAUCUACCAAUUACUGUGAAAGAGACGUGAAAAUCUCCAACUAUAAAUGCGAGUUCAUC